UACGGGGGAUACGAGCGUUAUCCGGAUUUAUUGGGUUUAAAGGGCGCGUAGGCGGGAUGCCAAGUCAGCGGUAAAAAUGCGGUGCUCAACGCCGUCGAGCCGUUGAAACUGGCGUUCUUGAGUGGGCGAGAAGUAUGCGGAAUGCGUGGUGUAGCGGUGAAAUGCAUAGAUAUCACGCAGAACUCCGAUUGCGAAGGCAGCAUACCGGCGCCCUACUGACGCUGAGGCACGAAAGCGUGGGUAUCGAACAGG
rnacentral:rRNA from 1 species